AUAGGAAGAAGUAACUCCUGACGGGGAAGCCAAUUUGGGAUCCUGUGAGAUGCUGUCCUCACUCCAAGCCACGAAAAAUAACUUCUCAGAAAAUAGCCCAACGAACUGAUGCUAAUUGCUAAGAAGCACCAGACAGCAAAACAAUAGCAAG